CGCAGCCGCAGUAAUUCCAGCUCCAAUAGCGUAUAUUAAAGUUGUUGCAGUUAAAAAGCUCGUAGUUGAAUUUCGGAAUCAGUACGCCAGUCAUGCUUCGGUAUGUACUAGUGUCACUGAUUCCUUCCUUCUGACGAACCGUCAUGCCAUUAAUUUAGCGUGAUGUGGAAUCAGGACUGUUACUUUGAAAAAAUUGAGUGUUUAAAGAAGGCUCGCGCUUGAAUACAUUAGCAUGGAAUAAUGAAAUAGGACGUUUGAUCUUAUUUUGUUGGUUUCUAGGAUCGAUGUAAUGAUUAAUAGGGAUAGUUGGGGGCAUUAGUAUUCAAUUGUCAGAGGUGAAAUUCUU
rnacentral:rRNA from 1 species